UCUACAUCUGCCUUCUGAGUUCUAUGGCCAGGCAACUGCUGUAUGGUACCUGUUCCUCCAGGUCAUGCUGUGGCUGGUGCAAUCCCAUCAUUCAGUGUAGGCCAGUGCUCACAGGUAACCUUUCAGAAGAUGGAGAAAGGAGGAAGAGCCAGGUUUGCUAGGAAGGAGUUUGGGGACUAUUUGCAUUAGCAGACAACAAACAUAUUUCAGUUGACAAGAGUAUUGUCUUUUUUUUUUUUUUUUUUUUUUUUUUUUUUUUUUUGAGACAGAGUCUCUUGGAUCCCAGGCUGGCCUAGAACUCACCAUAUGGUGCAAGCUGCCCUUGAAAUUCCCAUUCCCUACUGCAGUCUGCUGAGUACAAGGGUUACAGACUUGCAUCACAAGGCCCAGCAUCCUUUUUUAUUGUUGGCUUGCUUUAUUCCACGUGUCCCUUUGACUAAGUGGCAUGUCCCUGGUGACCAGUCUAGCAGCAGCUGUGCCUGUAUUUCUUUGGUCUGUCAUGCUCAUACAAGGCUCCACCACAGAUGGAGUGAAAGAGGUAGUCAGCCCGUCAUGGUGGUUACAUGUUUGCAGGGUGUUCAUUACCCAUAGCUGUGAUAAAAUUCCUCCACAAGAGCAGUUUAGAGGAGAAAGAACUUACCUUGGCUCACAAUUCCAGGUCCAUCAUUGCAGAGAAGUCAAGGCAAGAAGAGCUUGAACAUCUUCACAUCCCCCAUCCAGAGCACAUGCUCACUCAUGCUCUCUCCUCCCCCUCCCCCUCCCCCUCCUCCU
rnacentral:lncRNA from 1 species